ACAGUAGGCCCUAUGUCCUUGUGCAGCUGUAACAUAAACAGUGACCGUGUGGUUUCCCCCAUUCACCCCUCUGUUAGGAAAAAGGGUAAAAACAAGCAUCUGUACUGUAAGAUACUCAUUAGAUUAAACUCAGAACACUGUCCCUAAACGGUUGAUAUAGAGAGCUGCUUUAGCUGAAUGUAACAAGGAAUUGCUGGAAUCAAAGUGAUGAAUCUACUAGUUUAACGCCUACUUUGUAAGCUUCGAAAACAGGACCCUGACUGUUGCAGUUCCAUAUUCAAGGUG